rnacentral:rRNA from 1 species
GAUGAACGCUGGCGGCGUGCCUAAUACAUGCAAGUCGAGCGAACAGAUGAGGAGCUUGCUCCUCUGACGUUAGCGGCGGACGGGUGAGUAACACGUGGAUAACCUACCUAUAAGACUGGGAUAACUUCGGGAAACCGGAGCUAAUACCGGAUAAUAUAUUGAACCGCAUGGUUCAAUAGUGAAAGACGGUUUUGCUGUCACUUAUAGAUGGAUCCGCGCCGCAUUAGCUAGUUGGUAAGGUAACGGCUUACCAAGGCAACGAUGCGUAGCCGACCUGAGAGGGUGAUCGGCCACACUGGAACUGAGACACGAUCCAGACUCCUACGGGAGGCAGCAGUAGGGAAUCUUCCGCAAUGGGCGAAAGCCUGACGGAGCAACGCCGCGUGAGGGAUGAAGGUCUUCGGAUCGUAAAAAUCUGUUAUUAGGGAAGAACAAAUGUGUAAGUAACUAUGCACGUCUUGACGGUACCUAAUCAGAAAGCCACGGCUAACUACGUG